ACGGAAGGCAGCAGUGGGGAAUAUUGCACAAUGGGCGCAAGCCUGAUGCAGCGAUGCCGCGUGAGGGAAGAAGGUUUUCGGAUUGUAAACCUCUGUUGACAGGGACGAUAAUGACUGUACCUGUUCAGAAAGCUCCGGCUAACUACGUGCCAGCAGCCGCGGUAAUACGUAGGGAGCGAGCGUUGUCCGGAAUUACUGGGUGUAAAGGGAGUGUAGGCGGGACUGUAAGUCAGAUGUGAAAAUUAGGGGCUCAACCCCUAACCUGCAUUUGAAACUGUGGUUCUUGAGUGAAGUAGAGGUAAGCGGAAUUCCUAGUGUAGCGGUGAAAUGCGUAGAUAUUAGGAGGAACAUCAGUGGCGAAGGCGGCUUACUGGGCUUUAACUGACGCUGAGGCUCGAAAGCGUGGGGAGCAAACAGGAUUAGAUACCCUGGUA
rnacentral:rRNA from 1 species